rnacentral:rRNA from 1 species
AGUGGCGAACGGGUGAGUAAUGCAUCGGAACGUACCCGGGAGUGGGGGAUAACUAUCCGAAAGGAUAGCUAAUACCGCAUAUUCUGUGCGCAGGAAAGCAGGGGAUCUUCGGACCUUGUGCUCCCGGAGCGGCCGAUGUCAGAUUAGCUAGUUGGUGGGGUAAAGGCCUACCAAGGCGACGAUCUGUAGCGGGUCUGAGAGGAUGAUCCGCCACACUGGAACUGAGACACGGUCCAGACUCCUACGGGAGGCAGCAGUGGGGAAUUUUGGACAAUGGGCGCAAGCCUGAUCCAGCCAUGCCGCGUGAGUGAAGAAGGCCUUCGGGUUGUAAAGCUCUUUCGGCCGGGAAGAAAUCGUACGGGUUAAUACCCUGUGCGGAUGACGGUACCGGCAUAAGAAGCACCGGCUAACUACGUGCCAGCAGCCGCGGUAAUACGUAGGGUGCGAGCGUUAAUCGGAAUUACUGGGCGUAAAGCGUGCGCAGGCGGUUUUUUAAGAUAGGCGUGAAAUCCCCGGGCUCAACCUGGGAACUGCGCUUAUGACUGGAAGACUAGAGUAUGGCAGAGGGGGGUGGAAUUCCACGUGUAGCAGUGAAAUGCGUAGAGAUGUGGAGGAACACCGAUGGCGAAGGCAGCCCCCUGGGCCAAUACUGACGCUCAUGCACGAAAGCGUGGGGAGCAAACAGGAUUAGAUACCCUGGUAGUCCACGCCCUAAACGAUGUCAACUAGGUGUUGGGUGGGUAAAACCAUUUAGUACCGGAGCUAACGCGUGAAGUUGACCGCCUGGGGAGUACGGCCGCAAGGUUAAAACUCAAAGGAAUUGACGGGGACCCGCACAAGCGGUGGAUGAUGUGGAUUAAUUCGAUGCAACGCG